UGGGUGGGCUUAAGCCAAAGCCCGUCAACUUUAGGAGGCCCAAAAAAGAAAAAGAAAGAGAAAACAAGGAAGCAGAGUGAGGAGUGAGGACGAGACAAACCCUAAACCCGCCGGCGGCGUGCGGCGGCGGCGGUAAUGGAGGUGGAUAUGGAAGCGGAGGGUGCGAGCGGCGAGCUCGGCCACAAGAGGGCGGAUCUGGAGAAGCCCACGGAGGAGGAGAGAGCUUCUAACGGCGGCGGCGACGCCGCCAAGACGCCGUCGGAGGAUCACCACGACAGUGCCCGCCGCCGCGCCAUGGCGAUGGAGAAUGACGACGACGACGACGAGUACUACGACGAACCCCUUCCGAAUCCCUUGGACGCCUACCGCCAGAGCUGGGCCCGUUCCUACGGCACCAAUGGCGCCACCUUCGAGGACGAGACGGAUCUCCCUCCUAUGCCAAACACAGACAUUCCAGUGCUGCCCCCUUCUGCGCAGCCUAUGGAAACAAUGCAGGUCUUCACGGUGAAGGUGACCCAGAUCACCGGCGGCCUCCGGUGGCCGCUCGGCGUCUACGGCGUGGUCGCCGUGCGAGACUCCAUGGACCACAAGCGCAACGUCCUCUUCCGCCGCGGCAGGAACGAAUGCCAGACCCUAACUUCGCUGCAGGCUUGUAGGUUUUCUGCCAUUAUUGAGCUUUUCCAUGGCCACUGCAAACAAUCCAGGUCCCCUUGACUUGGUUCCAGGUUUUUCACCUGAAGACAUGGACAACCCCAUUCAUAAUGCUGCCUUAUCCUACGUGUCAUAUGAUAGAUAUGUGUUAGAUACCUCUGAAGUGUAUUUUGAUGAUUGCAUCCCAUUGGAGUCUUAUCUGAAUAUUAGACCAAUGGUGACUUCUGAUUCGUAUCAGUUUCGUUCAUUUGGGGAAACUAAUCCAAGUGUGACUUAUCUGGUUGCAACAGAGUCAUGUAAGAAAGUAAUCAGAACUAUGCUGAAAGGACUAAGGACAAAUGAGUUGAGAAAUUUGUGUUUUUUGGAUUUAAACAUUUCAAACAUCUUUGUGAGUCCCACGGGAAAAGUUAAGUUCAAGAACAUUUCACGUGUAUAGUUAGAGAUGGACCUUCUAAGAAACAACUAUUUGUGUGCUCAUCAGAUUAUCAGGAAUCUCUUUCUAUCUGAAGACGGAAGUGUGCCUGAAGAUAUACAGCACCUGCUAAACUUGAUCCUUCAUGAGUUUGACAAGAGAGAGAUAUUUCAUUUUCAUGGGUCAUUGGUAUCCCUAGCUAAUGUGUCACUGUUUUUCAAGUCAAUGUAUGACCAUAUCAGAUUUGUGAUGCCACCAGAUGAUCUUAGGGCUAUCCUAACAAACCUUCCAUAUGCCGAUGUUUGGGAGAGUAAAGUCAAGACCAACCGUAUCCUCAAAAAGCCUUAUGAUUUCAACCCUGACGGCCGUAUUGUACCAGCUGACAAACCAUCUCAGACAUGCCUCAACAAACGUCAGAGGGAAUUCUUACAUGCACUGGGUCUAACUCCUAUUCGAGGACAGAAAUCGCUUACCCCUGAUCAGAUCGCCUUAAUUGAAACUCUGUUCUUCUUUGAUUUUCUGAGAAAUAGGACAUCUCACAGGAUGGAUCCAUGGAGGAGCCUGAUUUUGGGCUAUAAUGCUGUGGACUCAGAGUAUGCAUGUCAUGUCCGGUUCCCAUUGGUUGUCCCGUAUCUGCAGUUGGAGCUGUAUAACAGGGGUCAACUGCAGGCACUUCAGUUGGGACAUUUAUUCUAACUUCUAAGCUAUCCAAGUUCCUCAAUUUAUGAGCGGAAGUCCUUAUCAAGCCAUUGCUGGACAUGAUGCAACUUCAAUGCAAGAAGAUUGGCUGGCUAGGGCCUAACUUUUGGUUAAUUUUGCUUCUGUUCUAGUUUCCUUCCUGAACCCCUAGAGGUUGAUGAUGUCCCAGGGUGUAUGUAUCCCCUGUGUUUUUUGUCGCUGUAAAACUACACAUGCUUGAAUUUCUGUCAGCAGAAAAAAGCUACAUCUGACUGCAGUUGACAGUUUUAUUUCAUGUUUAUGGGACGCAACUCCAUUAUUGCUGUUAUUUUUUUUUUCUCUUUACAUGGUAGUUAUAACACAUUUAAGCUAUAUAUGCCUGUAUCUUUUGUUAACUGUUCUGAAUGCCUAUGAAGCUAUAUGCCUGUAUCACAA